CCUACGGGAGGCAGCAGUGGGGAAUAUUGGACAAUGGGGGAAACCCUGAUCCAGCCAUGCCGCGUGUGUGAAGAAGGUCUUCGGAUUGUAAAGCACUUUAAGUUGGGAGGAAGGUCUGAUGCUUAAUACGUAUCAGUCUUGACGUUACCGACAGAAUAAGCACCGGCUAACUCUGUGCCAGCAGCCGCGGUAAU
rnacentral:rRNA from 1 species